CUCCAGACCUCUCUCUUCUCUCAAAUUGUCCACCCUCCGUCGCCCCACCACCACCAUCGUCCCCAGCCCUACUCACCGUCAUCUUCUUCCUCUAAUGGCGAUCUCAUCAUAAUCAUUCACCCCUUCACUCACUUCCGCAAAACCCAAACCUGAUUUGCAGUUUCUUCUCGUCUCAACUCUUCUAAAUCCUUUGUUGCCGGCGAAAUCUUUCUCCUCAAUCAAUCACCACAAAUAAUAAUCUACUUCUCCACCCUCUUCAAUUUCAACAAUCUUGCUAUUUGCUAUAGAUCUAUCACGAUCAAUUUUUGUAAAUUGAAAACAAACCCAACAAAAAACAAUUAAUCUAUUCUUUCAUUUUAGGGAAAAAUUCAAAAGAGUUAAUUUCAUCAUUGUUUGGUUAGGGAUUGGAAUGAAAUGAAUGCAAAAGCUGAAGAGAUGAUUGGUUAUGGACUGGACUGGAAUGGAACUUGCAGCAACAAUGGUCAUGCUUGAAAAAAAGAUGAACACAGGGACCAAUACCAAACAAAAAAGUGUAGGAAUCAAUAAUGAUCGUACCUGAUCAGAAGGUGACUGCUGGUGCUUUGAAUGUGGUGGUUUAGACGGUGGUGGAAUACGUCAGAAUGCUUCUUGGAGCAAAUGGGGGUGUCUAUCUGCAGGCACUCCAACGCUCAAGUCAGUAGAGAUCAGAGCGUGAGGGUGAUGACAGUCCGUCAUAUCACAUUUUUAAAGUCUUUUUAUUUAAGUUUUUACUCUAUUUUAUUAGUUUAGUAUUUCAUUUAGAGUCAUUUUAAAUAAAUUGUGGUUUUAUUUAUUAAUUGGGUCAAUUAGUUUAUUUUAUUAUUAUUAUUAUUAUUAUAGUUAGUAGUAAUAGGAGCAAAGAAAGAAAACUUGGGUGAGUUUAUAAAUGGCUGGUGUGAAUAAUAAAGAAAAAGGUGUGCAAAACAUAAGAAGAAAAAUAAACAAAUGGGCCUUAACCCAUGGGUGACCCGAGAGAAUUGAAGAAGGAUGCCGCAUAACAAAGGAACACACGUUUCACAGGAGCUUUUCUUGUACAGGAGCUACACAACAGCCAUGAAAGAUUGACGUUUUGGGCAAGCAGCAACUAAUUUUGGGGAGAAUUUGGUUUGACAUUUCUAGAGAAACACAAAGCAAGGUGUUAGGAGUAGAUUCAACCCAAGAUUUGUUGCGACAUCAUGGAUCUAGGCAUUGAAUCUUCAUCUCUUCUUCAUCCUUUGCAAAGCUAUCAUAGACAUAUGUAGCUACAUCUACCCUUGUGGGUUUUGAUGUAUUCAAACAAGCCAUUAUGUAAACUCUUGAUCUUUUAAUAUAUGAUUCUAGCUAUUUAUUCAA